GACGAACGCUGGCGGCGUGCUUAACACAUGCAAGUCGAACGGUAAGGCCCUUCGGGGUACACGAGUGGCGAACGGGUGAGUAACACGUGGGUGAUCUGCCCUGCACUUCGGGAUAAGCCUGGGAAACUGGGUCUAAUACCGGAUAGGACCACUGCCUGCAUGGGUGGUGGUGGAAAGCUUUUGCGGUGUGGGAUGGGCCCGCGGCCUAUCAGCUUGUUGGUGGGGUGAUGGCCUACCAAGGCGACGACGGGUGGCCGGCCUGAGAGGGUGACCGGCCACACUGGGACUGAGAUACGGCCCAGACUCCUACGGGAGGCAGCAGUGGGGAACAUCGCACAAUGGGCGCAAGCCUGAUGCAGCGACGCCGCGUGAGGGAUGACGGCCUUCGGGUUGUAAACCUCUUUCAGCACCGACGAAGCGCAAGUGACGGUAGGUGCAGAAGAAGGACCGGCCAACUACGUGCCAGCCGCCGCAGUAA
rnacentral:rRNA from 1 species